GACGAACGCUGGCGGCGUGCUUAACACAUGCAAGUCGAACGGAAAGGCCCUGCUUUUGUGGGGUGCUCGAGUGGCGAACGGGUGAGUAACACGUGAGUAACCUGCCCUUGACUUUGGGAUAACUUCAGGAAACUGGGGAUAAUACCGGAUAGGCGCUCCUGCUGCAUGGUGGGGGUUGGAAAGUUUCGGCGGUUGGGGAUGGACUCGCGGCUUAUCAGCUUGUUGGUGGGGUAGUGGCUUACCAAGGCUUUGACGGGUAGCCGGCCUGAGAGGGUGACCGGCCACAUUGGGACUGAGAUACGGCCCAGACUCCUACGGGAGGCAGCAGUGGGGAAUAUUGCACAAUGGGCGGAAGCCUGAUGCAGCAACGCCGCGUGCGGGAUGACGGCCUUCGGGUUGUAAACCGCUUUCGCCUGUGACGAAGCGUGAGUGACGGUAAUGGGUAAAGAAGCACCGGCUAACUACGUG
rnacentral:rRNA from 1 species